rnacentral:rRNA from 1 species
UUGUUAGCAGCCGCGGUAAUACGAAGGACCCGAGCGUUAUCCGGAUUUAUUGGGUUUAAAGGGUGCGCAGGCGGACUAAUAAGUCAGUGGUGAAAGCCUGAUGCUUAACAUCAGAACUGCCAUUGAUACUGCUAGUCUUGAGUACGGUUGAGGUGGGCGGAAUGUGUCAUGUAGCGGUGAAAUGCUUAGAUAUGACACAGAACACCAAUUGCGAAGGCAGCUCGCUAAACCGUAACUGACGCUGAGGCACGAAAGCGUGGGGAGCAAACAGGAUUAGAUACCCCCGUAGUCC